GUUUACUUCUGAAAAUCAAAAAAGGAGAAAAACAAAAGUGAAAAUAUGUUAACUGUUAAAUUAAUCAUGCAAUCCGGAAAACAAUUGGUUAUGAAGCUCCCAAUCACAGCUACCGUUUACGAGCUUAAGACUGAGCUUCAGAGUUUUCUCAAUAUAGUAGCCGGAAACAUGUGAAAUUUCUGCUUCUGAUGUAACGUUGGCCGAUUCAGAUCUCAGAGCAGAAGUUGCUGGUCUAGGCAACAAGAAACAAAUUAAGCCGGUUGUAUCUUGCUAUGAAGGCAACAAUUUUGUGUGAUUGAUACUAUUUUCUCUCGAAGCCGAGGAUAUCGACAAUUCGGUGUCAGACCCAAGUAUUGAAGUUGUGCCGCUCGAAGGAAGCGAAUCUUCCGUCAGUGAGCUAUCUUCAGGAUCCAGUAGCGAAUGAGUACAGCCAUCCACGAUUGAUUGCAAACGUGGUAUUAAACGAAAAGGCCAGGGACAUGGAAAACCCAUAGAGACUAAACGGUUCAAAAAGGUUCUCGAAUCGUGUGAGGAGAGUGUAGAAAGCCCCUCGUAUGGAUUUAAGGAGGAGGCAUGCGGUAUGGGAGGCUGCGGAAUUAAAUCCAGACCAUUCUUGGUUAAAUCUGAAAUCGAAAUGGAACCCGAUGUUAUAAAUGGUCAGCGGCCCCUUUACGUUAACAUACUCCCAGAGAACAGUCUGUUUGUUGUGGUCGUUUCGUCCUCAGCGAUCUGUUGGAAGAGUUCUUUGGGAUAUUUUUGAUUUCAGGAAAGUUCGCUGUUUAAAUUUUAACGAGGUGACUCCGGUAACAGUACAAUUUCAAGCUCCUGGAACUGCAGAACUCUGAUAUUACGACGAAGUGGGCUGUGGUGAGCCGUGAUGAUGGUACCCCCUAUAUUGACGGAUAUUUGCCCCAAUGAACAGGUUGAGAUCUGGAUGGAUGCGGACAGUGUGGAUAUCAUCAAGGAGAGAUGCAACCGCCUCAAACUAUGUUUUUGGAUGAUCAAAUUAUAUAUUUUUAUUUUAUGCAAUUUAUAUUUUGAAAUGUUAAAAAGGUUAAAAUUGCGGCAGACUUAUUUGUCUACCGACUAUUCUGACUGGCAACGGUCAAACGAUAGUUUAUCUUAAUAGAA